rnacentral:misc_RNA from 1 species
GCGUGUACUUCGUCCAGGGUUUUUACAUCAUCACCUACGGCCUUGGCAUCUAUAUGCUUAACCUCUUGAUAGGGUUUCUGUCUCCUCAGAUUGACCCUGAGAUCCAUGACGGGCCUUCCCUCCCCACCCGUGGAUCCGACGAGUUCCGCCCCUUUGUUCGCCGCCUCCCCGAAUUCAAGUUCUGGUACUCUAUUACCAAAGCUUUCUGCAUUGCUUUUCUCAUGACAUUCUUUGCUGUCUUUGAUGUACCUGUCUUUUGGCCAA